UGGCAGCUUGCUGCUUCUGUGGCCUCGCCUCAGGCCGGUUGGCAGGCCUGGAGGUUUCUUUAGGAUGGACUACAGCUGUCUGGUAUCUGCUCGAUGAAAGGACUGGAGUGUAGCUGCUGGUUCGUGCCUGGAGUCUGCCUGCCUAGAGGCCUGGCCUGCCGCUGCUGAGUCAUAUUUGGUGUUUCCUGCAGGAGUGAACUGUUGUCAAAGAAGAUCAAGCUCUGUACCCAGAGAACUACUGCUGAACAGGGCCAUUUCCCCCAUAUCCUAAUAAUUUUUUUCCUUCCACUACCUCUGCUGGGUGGUGGGCUAGAAGAGAGGUUGAACCCUUAUUAAAAGUAGGUUGCAACAACAGAGUUUCCAUCUUUCCUGCUGUAAUCACGUUAGCCCCCAAUCGCAGAGACCUGCUUGCUUCUACCUCCUGAGGGCUGGGAUUAAAGGCGUGUGCCACCACUGCCUGGAACAGACAGUUUUCUGUAUUCCUGGGUUCCACAUUCUCAGAUCCAACCAAUCUCAGUUUGAAAACAUUUUUCAAAAAUUCCAUUAUGUUGAACAUGUACAGAUUUGUUUUACUGUCUUGGUCUAUAGAUGGAUAUUGAAACACUGCAUAGCUAGUAUUGACAUUGUACUAGGUAUGGUAAAUUGAGCAAAGAUAUUUUUUUACAUAGGAAGCUAUGUGGAUGUUCUAUGCCAAUGACAUCACUUUAUAAGAGGUCUGAGAAUUUUUGGAUCUCGGUGCCCGUGAGGGUCCUGGCACUGACCCCUUGAGUACUAAGGGACCACUAUCCCGCAGGCAUAUCUGUACACCCUGAAUUAUGUCACCAGCUUGCUGACGUCAUGUCACAUCUGUGUCCGAUGCUCUUGCCCUCCCAGACAUGGGGACUUUACUGAAUCCCUGGAGUCCACUACAAACCCGAUGACUUUUUUCUCUGGGUUUCUCCAGCAUCUACCUCCUAAAAACAGGACGACUCCGAUGUAAGUGCAAUACAGAGAUUAAGAUAUUUGAGGAAUAUCAAAAUAUUAACAUUUAUUUUGAGUGUCAAGUCAAUAUUCACAUUUCUUUGGGGUGACUUUUUUUUUUACCCUUCAAGACUGGUUUCAAGAAAAACCAGGGCUUUCAAGCACACACAUUGCAUCUCCUGUAAAACUGUGUCUAUU
rnacentral:lncRNA from 1 species